rnacentral:rRNA from 1 species
UGGGGAAUUUUGGACAAUGGGGGAAACCCUGAUCCAGCCAUCCCGCGUGUGCGAUGAAGGCCUUCGGGUUGUAAAGCACUUUUGGCAGGAAAGAAACGUCAUGGGUUAAUACCCCGUGAAACUGACGGUACCUGCAGAAUAAGCACAGGCUAACUACGUGCCAGCAGCCGCGGUAAUACGUAGGGUGCAAGCGUUAAUCGGAAUUACUGGGCGUAAAGCGUGCGCAGGCGGUUCGGAAAGAAAGAUGUGAAAUCCCAGAGCUCAACUUUGGAACUGCAUUUUUAACUACCGGGCUAGAGUGUGUCAGAGGGAGAUAGAAUUCCGCGUGUAGCAGUGAAAUGCGUAGAUAUGCGGAGGAACACCGAUGGCGAAGGCAGCCUCCUGGGAUAACACUGACGCUCAUGCACGAAAGCGUGGGGAGCAAACAGG